UUGAAUUGAGUUGAGUUGAGUUGAAUUGAUGAUCUCUGGUAAGUCAAGAUACUCACCACUACCAAGGAUAUGUUCAACUCAAGGUGCAUUGUUCAAAAUCCGUGUAAAGUUAACAGUCCACAAACAGCACAUUUGCAUUGAAAUUGUUGUUCUAGAAGUAAAGGGUGACCCGAUGCACAAACAUCCUACACUUGUCGGCUUUGGCGAGCGUUGAUGUGCGCAUUGCGCAGCCUUACCCUUGCUUUGCAAGAGAGAGGCUGUUUUUAUUGUUCUAGAAAUCUAAAAUUUAAAAUGUACUAAUUGUUAUGAAGCCAACUCUAUUAUUUUCUAGCUAAUGAAGAUAUGCUCUUUUACUUGCUAAAGAUACUCCCUAAUGAGAAGAUAACCAGAAAAAAUAGUUGUAGGGUACAAUCCUUUUUUUUUUUUUAUUAGUAGAAGGUCACUGUUAUUACAUUAUAAAGUCAGUUUGAAUGUAUGAGCCGUAGCCAUCAAAAUCAGAUUAAUUUCUUCGCAAUUCUCUGUUUUUGUCCUUUUUGUAUAUUAAGAACAAAACAAAGAGGCAUAUUUAUGUAUUAACAAGAAAACUUACUUGCAAUGAUACCAUCUGCAUUUG
rnacentral:misc_RNA from 1 species